rnacentral:rRNA from 1 species
UACGUAGGUGGCAAGCGUUAUCCGGAAUUACUGGGCGUAAAGAGCGCGCAGGCGGUCGUUCAAGUCGAGUGUGAAAGCCCCCGGCUCAACUGGGGAGGGUCAUUCGAUACUGAUCGACUCGAAGGCAGGAGAGGGUAGUGGAAUUCCCGGUGUAGUGGUGAAAUGCGUAGAUAUCGGGAGGAACACCAGUGGCGAAGGCGACUACCUGGCCUGUUCUUGACGCUGAGGCGCGAAAGCUAGGGAGCAACGGG